rnacentral:rRNA from 1 species
GUGGGGAAUAUUGGACAAUGGGCGCAAGCCUGAUCCAGCCAUGCCGCGUGUGUGAUGAAGGCCUUAGGGUUGUAAAGCACUUUUGUCCGGGAAGAUAAUGACUGUACCGGAAGAAUAAGCCCCGGCUAACUUCGUGCCAGCAGCCGCGGUAAUACGAAGGGGGCUAGCGUUGCUCGGAAUCACUGGGCGUAAAGGGCGCGUAGGCGGACUCUUAAGUCGGGGGUGAAAGCCCAGGGCUCAACCCUGGAAUUGCCUUCGAUACUGAGAGUCUUGAGUUCGGAAGAGGUUGGUGGAACUGCGAGUGUAGAGGUGAAAUUCGUAGAUAUUCGCAAGAACACCAGUGGCGAAGGCGGCCAACUGGUCCGAUACUGACGCUGAGGCGCGAAAGCGUGGGGAGCAAACAGGAUUAGAUACCCGAGUAGUCC